GUGUUCACUUUGGCAGCAUGUACACUAGAAAUGGAACUAUAUAAAGAAGAUUAGCAUUACCCCAUGUGCAAAGAUGACACACAAAUUUGAGAAGCAUUCCAUAUUUUU
ensembl:snRNA U6 U6 spliceosomal RNA